UCUAAAAUACUUUGAGUUUGGAUUGUUGUUGCUAUUAAUGUACCUAAAUUUAUUUUAUCCAAGUGUUCAUGUGUACAUACACACAUGUGUGUGUGGGCACACAUGUGGUGGUCAGAAGACAAUUUUCAAAAAUCAUUUCUUUCUUUCUAUCAUCAGGCUCAGCAGCACGUCUCUACCCUUAAGUCAUAUCUCCAUCUUGUCAUUGCUACAUUUUAAGGAGUCCUUUAACAGCCUUUUCAAUCCUUUCUUCUCAUCAUAACAUGGUGACUUCAGGAAGGAAGGAAUUCUGAAGAAAUACCGAACAGUGAUGGCUAUGGGCUUGAAAAAAAGAAGAAUUGAACAGACAGCAGGCAUGGUGUUAUAUAUGACUGCAAUCCCAGCACCAGGAAGCUGAGGCAGGAAGAUUGCGGCAAGAUCAAAGCCAGUCUGAAUAACAGAGUGCACUCCAGGACAGCUUGGGCUAGGUAGCAAGCCCCACCUUCCCCUGCCUCACACCCCCCCAAAAAUUAUAUGUGUCCUCUUGAAUACAUGUUAGUGUCAUGGCAACGCCUUAGGUGAAUACUAAUAAAGGAAAUAUGUGCCUUUCUA